UACGGAAGGUGCGAGCGUUAAUCGGAAUUACUGGGCGUAAAGCGCGCGUAGGUGGAUUGGUCAGUCAGAUGUGAAAGCCCCGGGCUCAACCUGGGAACUGCACCUGAUACUGCCAGUCUAGAGUACGGUAGAGGGCAGUGGAAUUUCCUGUGUAGCGGUGAAAUGCGUAGAUAUAGGAAGGAACACCAGUGGCGAAGGCGACUGCCUGGACCGAUACUGACACUGAGGUGCGAAAGCGUGGGUAGCAAACAGGAUUAGAUACCCUGGUAGUCCACGCCGUAAACGAUGUCAACUAGCCGUUGGGGGACUUGAUCCUUUAGUGGCGCAGCUAACGCGAUAAGUUGACCGCCUGGGGAGUACGGCCGCAAGGUUAAAACUCAAAUGAAUUGACGGGGGCCCGCACAAGCGGUGGAGCAUGUGGUUUAAUUCGAAGCAACGCGAAGAACCUUACCUACUCUUGACAUCCAGAGAACUUGGCAGAGAUGCCUUGGUGCCUUCGGGAACUCUGAGACAGGUGCUGCAUGGCUGUCGUCAGCUCGUGUUGUGAAAUGUUGGGUUAAGUCCCGUAACGAGCGCAACCCUUGUCCUUAUUUGCCAGCACUUCGGGUGGGAACUCUAAGGAGACUGCCGGUGACAAACCGGAGGAAGGUGGGGACGACGUCAAGUCAUCAUGGCCCUUACGAGUAGGGCUACACACGUGCUACAAUGGCCGGUACAGAGGGCCGCGAACCUGCGAGGGUAAGCCGAUCUCAGAAAACCGGUCGUAGUCCGGAUCGCAGUCUGCAACUCGACUGCGUGAAGUCGGAAUCGCUAGUAAUCGCGAAUCAGAAUGUCGCGGUGAAUACGUUCCCGGGCCU
rnacentral:rRNA from 1 species